UACAGAGGGUGCUAGCGUUAUUCGGAAUUACUGGGCGUAAAGCGCGCGCGGGCUGUUCAGCAAGUCUGAUGUGAAAACCCCUAUUUCAAGUAGGGAAGUGCAUCGGAUACUACUGGACUAGAGUGCAGGAGGGGAGAGUGGAAUUCCUGGUGUAGAGGUGAAAUUCGUAGAUAUCAGGAGGAACAACAGUGGCGAAGGCGACUCUCUGGACUGUAACUGACGCUGAGGCGCGAAAGCGUGGGGAGCAAACAGG
rnacentral:rRNA from 1 species